rnacentral:lncRNA from 1 species
UGGAAUGAUCCUUAAUCAGCAUAAGUAUAUUUCUGAUUUACUGCAUCAGUUUGAUUGUGCAAAUGUCUCAUCUGAUGUUUCUCCUUUUAGAUAUUAAUGUCAAACUUCAUGCUGAUUCUGGUGACCUUUUAUCCUCUCCUGACCAGUACAGAAGUCUUGUUGGUAAGAUGUUAUUUCUGACUCAUACUAGGCCUGACAUAUGCUUUGUUGUUCAACAUCUGAGUCAAUUCCUCAAAUGCCCCAAACUUCCUCAUAUGACUGCUGCCCUGCAUGUUUUGAGAUACCUUAAAGGCACUCCUUCUAUGGGUCUAUUUUAUUCUGCCAGUGCUGAUUUCUCUGUUGUUGGUUAUUCUGAUAGUGAUUGGGCUGCAUGCGCUGAUACUAGGAGAUCUGUUACUGGAUUUGUGUGCUUUUGGGUGGUUACCAGUGAUGAUUUCUCUGUUAUUGGUUAUUCUGAUAGUGACUGGGUUGCACGCCCUGAUACUAUGAGAUAUGUUACUGGAUUUUGUGUGCUAUUGGGUGGUUGCCUGGUUAGUUGGAAAUCUAAGAAGCAACCUGUUGUUUCUUUGUCUUCUGCUGAGGCAGAAUAUAGAG